rnacentral:rRNA from 1 species
UACGGAGGGUGCAAGCGUUAUUCGGAAUCACUGGGCUUACAGGGUGCGUAGGCGGCUUAGCAAGUCAGGUGUGAAAGCCCCCGGCUCAACCGGGGAACUGCGCUUGAAACUGCUGAGCUCGAGUCAGCUAGAGGUACACGGAACUUCCAGUGGAGCGGUGAAAUGUGUUGAUAUUGGAAGGAACACCGGAGGCGAAAGCGGUGUACUGGGGCUGGUCUGACGCUGAGGCACGAAAGCCAGGGGAGCGAACGGG